rnacentral:misc_RNA from 1 species
GUUCAGUUAUUAAAGUAGGGGGCAAAAAUUCCACCUUUACCUUACCAGUAGAGUCUUCUGAGAAGAAUGAAUACACAAGUCACACAACACUAACAAGAAAGAGCUCAUCAAAUACUUGAUUAAUUGUGAACAACUUCCUUUUUGGGACUAAGUUCUAAGUAAUUACUGAUUACCAUAGCAUAGGCUUGAUCCUUUAUCAUAUUUUACUACACAAAUAAGGUAAAAUAUAUAUGCCCCUAAG